CUACGGAGGAUCCGAGCGUUAUCCGGAUUUAUUGGGUUUAAAGGGUGCGCAGGCGGCCAUUUAAGUCAGCGGUUAAAUCGUGGGGCUCAACCCCACUCUGCCGUUGAUACUGGGUGGCUUGAUUGCGGUCGAGGUUGGCGGAAUUCGUUGUGUGGCGGUGAAAUGCAUAGAUAUGACGAAGAACACCGAUUGCGUAGGCAGCUGACCAGACCGCAAAUGACGCUCAUGCACGAAAGUGCGGGGAUCGAACAGGAUUAGAUACCCUGGUAGUCCGCACAGUAAACGAUGAAUACUUGUUUUCGGCGAUAUAAUGUCGGAGGCAAAGCGAAAGCGAUAAGUAUUCCACCUGGGGAGUACGCCGGCAACGGUGAAACUCAAAUGAAUUGGCGGGG
rnacentral:rRNA from 1 species